AUUUUGGGUGUCACCGCGAUUGAUUCCUGCGCUGACCCCUUUUCAUUCACAAGCCUCCCCACCCCCUCUGCCUCACCCUCCCUCCUUGAUAUAUGAGUUUUGUAUUUAAAAUUGCAUGUUGCGAGAAAGCUUUCGUAAAGGCAUCGGCGAGCCGGGCCAGAGCAGCACGAAUCGCCGCGGAAGGAGAUCACAGAUUUAUAAGCAUUUAUUUGUUGAUUAAAACGCCGGCGCGCAGCAGCCUCCCGGGGUGGAUCUUUCGCUCUUACUCCAAAUCCUCCCUUUCCGCCUUAUUUUUUGUGGUCCGGGCCGUGUAGAGCCCCGAGAAUCGCGCCGUGGCACGCCUCUACUCUCUGCUGCAAGAGAAGCGAGAAGGAGGAGCGGGCUGGAGGGAAGGAGCAGCUCCCGCCUCGCCAGGCCGGGCCGUGGGAGCGGCGGAGAUCGCCGCGGGGAGCUGCGGAAUGUGCGGGGGCUCCGCGGAGCGGGAGCGGCCCCGGCGCCCCCCCGAGCGCCGCCUUUGUGCUCUUCCCGUCCCUUCAGCCGCCAACCCCUUCCAGGAGCGGGGGGGGGGCGUUAGGAAAAAUAUAAGCGCAAAUGUUAACAGUAGAAAACUGAUGUCCCGCUUUGGUUUAGUUAAAAAAAAAAAGACAAUAAAUAAAACCCAAGCUCGAGAAAACGCGGACAGAAAUAUUUCUGACUCCCGAAGCCUCUUGAAACGUUAGUUGGGAGCGAUUCCUUUUGUCUCCUCUCUCAGUGCACACAAGGAGAUUAUUCGGACAUCAUUGCUGCAAAGCGGGAAAAGGGAAGGCAAAUGAUUUAGGGGGAAAAAAUAAAGCACAUUUUUCGCAUUAAA